GAUGAACGCUGGCGGCGUGCCUAAUACAUGCAAGUCGAGCGAACGGACGAGAAGCUUGCUUCUCUGAUGUUAGCGGCGGACGGGUGAGUAACACGUGGAUAACCUACCUAUAAGACUGGGAUAACUUCGGGAAACCGGAGCUAAUCCCGGAUGAUAUUUUGAACCGCAUGGUUCAAAAGUGAAAGACGGUCUUGCUGUCACUUAUAGAUGGAUCCGCGCUGCAUUAGCUAGUUGGUAAGGUAACGGCUUACCAAGGCAACGAUGCAUAGCCGACCUCUGAGAGUGAUAGGCCGCCCUGGAGCGGAGACACGGUCCAUGCUCCUGCGGGAGGCAGCAGUAGGGUACCUUCCGCAAUGGUCGAAAACCUUACGGAGCAACGCCGCGUGAGUUGUGACGGUCUUCCGAGCGUGAAGCUCUGUUAUGAGGGAAGAACAUAUGUGUACGUAACUGUGCACAGCGUGACGGUACCUAAUCAGAAAGCCACGGCUAACUACGUG
rnacentral:rRNA from 1 species